ensembl:lncRNA
GCUCCUUAAUUGCAAAAACUCAAUCAAGCGGCGGAGCUCGGAGGGCUCCGGAUCAAAGCGGCGCGGAGGUAACGAGGGCGGAGCGCGGUGCAGCCCCGGUGCCGGGCAGGGGUCACCCAGCGCCCGCCCCGCCGAACGGGCUGGAAAUGUGUUUAUACGUUGGUAAAACUCCGGAUAAACUUCAGCGGCGUUCGUGGCCGCGUCUGCCCGCGUGUGGUUAUUUUCCAGAAAUCUGGAUUACGGGAAACAUUCGGAGAGAAAUCUAAACAGGCUGAGGGUGGGGGGAGCUCAGGGGGUGCCGGGGUUCCCUCCGCACGGACGGGGCGCACAGCGGGAAGAGGUGGUGUGGCCGGGGCCGGGCAUCGCUAUCCAUAAAGGCGCAUCCCACGGGGCCCGGGACGGGGCGAUCAUCGGGUCUCUCCCCGCCCCACCUGUGGGGCAGCCGCCGCCCCUCGACGGGCACCUCAGCGCGGGGCGGGGACGUUCCCCCGUGUCUCUUCUCCAGGUGGAGAGGGAGAAAAGUGGCAGAGAGCUUCGGGGCCGCUCCUCCGAGGGCGAAGGGUUAUUUCCACGAGCUCCCAGCCCGCACCUGCGGGAUUGCUGUGCACUGCACGUGCAGAGGACUCUGGUGCCCCACGUCCGGUGAUGGACAGCCGCUCAGCCCGGCCCUCGGCGGCCCCACCGGGCUGAGGAACCCCCCGCAGCGGACCCGGCUCUUUCGCGGCCCGGCCUUUUCCCACCUCUGGAAGGUGCACAACGGCCGCUGCUGCCCGGCUCCGUCAGGGCCCAGGCGUACAACGCCCUUCAUCUCUGCCGAGAAGCGGGCCCCGACGGCUCGCUUCCAGCACGAGAAGAAAACCCCUUUUUGGCUCAAUCCGAGAGUCACUCCAGAGGCGGCCGGCGGCGGUUCCCGCCUCAGCCCGGAGGAGCCGGGAGGAGGGGAAGACGGAGGCCCGACUGCUCGGAGAAUUGUUAUUUUUCAUCAAUCAGCCGCAAUUUGUGUAAGUGCCCCGGACAGGACACCAGCCGUCCUGCUGGCUGGGGUCACGGAGACAACGCAGCGAUGGAGAAGAGCAAAUUGCAUUUGCUCACCAGCUCACAGAUCCAAAUUACGGCCCUCGCAUGGCGCGGGGAAGGGAGCGAAAGGUCCAUGUGACAUGAGGGAAAUAUGAAGGACUUUGACAGGUCUUAAACGGCCUGGCGCCAAGGCCUAAGUCUACCGGCUAAAAAUAGAAAAGAGAUGAUGAGUGGAGAUGGGCAGAGAUGAAAGGGAAGAGGGAGCGGGGCCGCGGCGCGGGGGCGGCUGGGCCGGGCCCCUUCCUCGGAG